UACGUAGGGCGCAAGCGUUGUCCGGAAUUAUUGGGCGUAAAGAGCUCGUAGGCGGCCUGUUACGUCUGCUGUGAAAUCCCGGGGCUUAACCCCGGGCGUGCAGUGGAUACGGGCAGGCUGGAGGCAGGCAGGGGAGAACGGAAUUCCCGGUGUAGCGGUGAAAUGCGCAGAUAUCAGGAGGAACACCGAUGGCGAAGGCAGCUCGCUGGGACGGUACUGACGCUGAGGCGCGAAAGCGUGGGGAGCAAACAGG
rnacentral:rRNA from 1 species